AUGCAACACACCUUACAAACAUUAUAGGAAUGCACUCCAAAACAUACAUACCCCAAUGCGUAACCAUAGAGGAACAUUACAGAAAACAACAAGACUUGGCAGCAACGAUAUGGGUCCCUAAAGACCUACAGAAAUUGUCCAACACUACUCUACCAACCACCCGGCUACUCCUUCAAUGCUGGAAUGAACACAGGUGCUUAGCCACCAUCACACAACCAUGCUCUCUAGCAAUGCCUAUACGAUCACUACAAAUAUUCAAUCACUGUAAAUAGCACCAGCAUGGCAUAACCCACAUACACCAGCUAUAAACGGAGAACAGGCUUAAACCUUUCCCAGAACUACAGGAGAGUCCUACACUGCCAUAAACACUAAUAUUUCCAUACCUACAACUGAAAACACUCCUAACGUGCACUAAAG